rnacentral:rRNA from 1 species
GACGAACGCUGGCGGCGUGCUUAAUACAUGCAAGUCGAACGGAAAGGCCCUGCUUUUGUGGGGUGCUCGAGUGGCGAACGGGUGAGUAACACGUGAGUAACCUGCCCUUGACUUUGGGAUAACUUCAGGAAACUGGGGCUAAUACCGGAUAGGAGCUCCUGCUGCAUGGUGGGGGUUGGAAAGUUUCGGCGGUUGGGGAUGGACUCGCGGCUUAUCAGCUUGUUGGUGGGGUAGUGGCUUACCAAGGCUUUGACGGGUAGCCGGCCUGAGAGGGUGACCGGCCACAUUGGGACUGAGAUACGGCCCAGACUCCUACGGGAGGCAGCAGUGGGGAAUAUUGCACAAUGGGCGGAAGCCUGAUGCAGCAGCGCCGCGUGCGGGAUGACGGCCUUCGGGUUGUAAACCGCUUUCGCCUGUGACGAAGCGUGAGUGACGGUAAUGGGUAAAGAAGCGCCGGCUAACUACGUG